rnacentral:rRNA from 1 species
GAUGAACGCUGGCGGCGUGCCUAACACAUGCAAGUCGAACGAAGCACUUUAUUUGAUUUCCUUCGGGACUGAUUAUUUUGUGACUGAGUGGCGGACGGGUGAGUAACGCGUGGGUAACCUGCCUUGUACAGGGGGAUAACAGUUGGAAACGGCUGCUAAUACCGCAUAAGCGCACAGCAUCGCAUGAUGCAGUGUGAAAAACUCCGGUGGUAUAAGAUGGACCCGCGUUGGAUUAGCUAGUUGGUGAGGUAACGGCCCACCAAGGCGACGAUCCAUAGCCGACCUGAGAGGGUGACCGGCCACAUUGGGACUGAGACACGGCCCAAACUCCUACGGGAGGCAGCAGUGGGGAAUAUUGCACAAUGGGCGAAAGCCUGAUGCAGCGACGCCGCGUGAGCGAAGAAGUAUUUCGGUAUGUAAAGCUCUAUCAGCAGGGAAGAUAAUGACGGUACCUGACUAAGAAGCACCGGCUAAAUACGUG